AUUGAACGCUGGCGGCAGGCCUAACACAUGCAAGUCGAACGAGUGGCGGACGGGUGAGUAAUGUCUGGGAAACUGCCCGAUGGAGGGGGAUAACUACUGGAAACGGUAGCUAAUACCGCAUACCAUCGGAUGUGCCCAGAUGGGAUUAGAUAGUAGGGGGGGUAACGGCUCACCUAGGCGACGAUCCCUAGCUGGUCUGAGAGGAUGACCAGCCGCACUGAGACUGGGGGACGGUCCAGACUCACACGGGAGGCUGCAGUGGGGAAUAUUGCACGAUGGGCGCAAGCCUGAUGCAGCCAUGCCGCGUGUAUGAAGAAGGACGUCGGGUUGUAAAGUACUUUCAGCAGGGAGGCGUUACCCGCAGACGAAGCACCGGCUAGCUCCGUGCCAGCAGCCGCGGUCAUAC
rnacentral:rRNA from 1 species